AGUCUUUUGUAUUUUUAUAAAAGAUGGUUUCUGCUCAAUGUUAAUUUAAAUAGCCGCGGUAAUUUGACCGUGCAAAGGUAGCAUAAUCAUUUGCUCUAUAAUUGAGGGCUAGAAUGAAUGGGAUUACAAGAUUUUUUCUUUAUUUGGAAAAAGAAAAGAAUUUUCUUUUCUAGUGAAGAAGCUAGAAUUUAUUUGGGGGACAAGAAGACCCUUUUGAGCUUUAUUAUAUUUAUUUUUUUUAAGUAGAAGAUAAUUUGGUUGGGGCGACCGAGGAAGAUUAGGUCUUCCUUUUUUACAUUGAUCCAGGGUUUCUGAUUGAUGAAGUAAGCUACCAAAGGGAUAACAGCGUGAUUUUCUUUGUGAGUUCUUAUUAAAAAGAAAGAUUGCGACCUCGAUGUUGACUUAUAGUUUCCUAGUGGUGUAGCAGCUAUAUUGGUAGGUCUGUUCGACCUUUAAAGCUUU
rnacentral:rRNA from 1 species